rnacentral:rRNA from 1 species
UUAAAUUGAAGAGUUUGAUCAUGGCUCAGAUUGAACGCUGGCGGCAGGCCUAACACAUGCAAGUCGAACGGUAACAGGAAGCAGCUUGCUGCUUCCCUGACGAGUGGCUGCCGGGGGGGUAAUGUCUGGGAAACUGCCUGAUGGAGGGGG